CAUCUUUGAGACCCGACAUAAUACUUAAGUAUUAACAGAGUUUAAGAUCUCCUCAAAGCCUCC
rnacentral:tRNA from 1 species